GCCGCAAUAGCUCAGUUGGUAGAGCGUUUCACUCGUAAUGAAGAGGUCCCGAGUUCAAGUCUCGGUUGCGGCUCCG
rnacentral:tRNA from 3 species